GUGCUGAGGAUCGAACCCGGUGCCUCACCAUGCUAGGUGAGUGCUCUACUACUGAAGCACAACACCAGCCCAAUGGACUAAGUUAACCCUGAAUAAAGAGGAGUGAAGAUGGCCACUGUUGGUGUAGCUUCAUAGCUGUCCUGCAGUGUUCUCUGAAUCAAGGAAAGAAUCAUUCAGGCACAUAAGACCACCAGUAUCACAAGAUGGCAGCCAUUGAUUUGUCCCAUGGUCUUUUGUAGAGGGACCCAGUUUGCCUUCAUGAAGAAAAGACAGAAGCAGAAAGGAAGAUGAUUGUCUGCCUGCCAAACUGUGAUCAGGACUUGGUGACCUUUGAUGAUGUGGCUGUGCACUUCACCCAGGAGGAGUGGAUUUUACUGGACCCAACUCAGAAAAAUCUAUACAAAGACGUGAUGCUGGAGAACUAUGAGAACCUGACCAUGGUACAGAAUGUCAGCUCCUCAAACCCAGCCUGAUCUCUUGGUUGGAGCAAGAAGAGUCAAAGAUAGUGGAAGGAGGGGUUCUCCAAGAAUGGAAAAUGGGACUUAAAAUCAAAGGGGCUUCACUUCAGCAGAAUUUUUUGAGGGAGCAGAUCUCCAGUGAGAUACUUAGGGCAAGAAGGCACAAUGGAGGGGAGCUCUGUGAUGUAAGCCAUGUGGAGAAUUCAUCAGUGGACAUACUUGCCUUACCUCACACAUGAGAAUGCAAAAUACAGGGACCACUUCUGAUUGUGAUCAACGUAGAACAGACUUCUUUCCUUUGCACAAGAGAACCUCUCCUGAAAAGAAACUUUUUUUGAAUCACUGUAGGCAAACUUUCAGCUUGCCUCCAAAAGCUGUUUACCAGAAAAUAUGCACUCAAGAUAAACCCUUUGAGUGCAAUGAUGGUGGGAAUUGCAUAUGCCCCAACUCCCCCCUUUUUUCUUAUUUUCUUUUUCCCUCUCUUUUUUCUCUUUUCUUCCUUGUUAUUUUUUUCUUCAUUCUUACUUCCUCUAUCCCACUUUCAACCCCCUAACUUUUACUAUCUAUAUGUAGGGUAACUUUCUAAAUACAGAUAGAAGGUUGAAUCUAUACAUUCUUCCAUAAAUUACCAGUCUAUUGGUUAGAGUUCUCCAAAGUUGCUAAGUUAUAUUAACCUCAUACCCUCACUCCUUUCCUCCUAAGCAUAACACCAUAUGUCUGAAAUUCAGUUUUCUAUAUGCCACCAGAAAUGGUAUACCUUUUAUGAAACUAAUGACUAUAUUUUUAAGUAAUAA